rnacentral:rRNA from 1 species
GAUGAACGCUGGCGGCGUGCCUAAUACAUGCAAGUCGAGCGAAGCGGGGACGGGUGAGUAACACGUGGAUAACCUCCUAUAAGACUGGGAUAACUUCGGGAAACCGGAGCUAAACCGGAUCCUUAUAGAUGGAACCGCGCUGCAUUAGCUAGUUGGUAAGGGAACGGCUUACCAAGGAAAAGAUGCAUAGCCGACCUGAGAGGGUGAUCGGACACACUGUAAAGGAGAAAGGGUCCAGACUCCUACGGGAGGCAGAAGUAGGGAAUCUUCCGCAAUGGGCGAAAGCCUGACGGAGCAACGCCGCGUGAUUGAUGAAGGUCUUCGGAUCGUAAAACUCUGUUAUUAGGGAAGCGGUACCUAAUCAGAAAGCCACGGCUAACUACGUGCCAGCAGCCGCGGUAAUUC